CGCGGCCUAUCAGCUUGUUGGUGAGGUAACGGCUCACCAAGGCUACGACGGGUAGCUGGUCUGAGAGGACGACCAGCCACACUGGGACUGAGACACGGCCCAGACUCCUACGGGAGGCAGCAGCGGGGAAUAUUGCACAAUGGGCGAAAGCCUGACGCAGCGACGCCGCGUGAGGGAAGAAGGCCUUCGGGUUGUAAACCUCUUUCAGGAGGGAAGAAGCUGAAGUGACCGUACCUCCAAAGAAAGCCCCGGUCAACUACGUGCCCCCAGCCGCGGUAAUACGUACGGGGCAAGCGUUGUCCGGAUUCAUUGGGCGAAAAGAGAUCGUAUGCGGCUCAUCAAGUGUGUCGUGAAAGCCCGGGGCUCAGCCCCGGCACCCCAAUCUGAACUGCUGUGGCUAGGGUCCAGUAAAGGAGAAUGCAAUUCCCGGUGUAGCGGUGAAAUGAUCACAUAUCGAAAGGAACACCAGUAGGGAACGCUGCUCUCUGGGCCGGUACCUAAGCUGAGGAGCCAAGGCUAGGGGAGCAAACUAGAUUACAUACCCUGCUACUCCUAACCGUAAACGUUGGGCACUAGGUGUGGCGGACUCAUUGUCCUCUGCCGUGCCAAAGCAUACGCAUUAACUGCCGCGCCUGAGGAGUACGGAAUCUCAUC
rnacentral:rRNA from 1 species